AUGGCCGGCGAGGAGGAGGCGCAGGUGAUGGAGUCCUGCUUCGUGACGCCGGCGGCGGACACGCCGACCAGAGCGAUCCGGCUGUCGCCGUUCGACCUCAUGCUAGCCAACAGAGGCUACACCCCACUAGUCCACUUCUACCGCCGACCAGAAACCGCCGGCGACGACUUCUUCGACGUGACAAGGUUGAAGACGGCGUUGGGCAAGGCCCUUGUGCCCUUCUACCCCCUGGCUGGCCGCUUGAGGGCUGGCGCUGAUGGCAGGUUGGAGAUCGACUGCAACGGCAAGGGCAUGCUCUUCCUCGUGGCUCACUCUCGUCUCACCGUCGAUGACUUUAGCGACUUCAAGCCAUCAUCGAAGCAGAGGAGGCUGUUUGUUCCCCACGCCAACCACUCGGACAGCCUCUUGUGGACUACCCAGGUGACAUUCUUGAAGUGUGGUGGGGUGGUCUUAGGGUCGGCAAUCCAUCAUGCUGCUAUGGACGGAUCUGUUGUAUUCCACUUCUUCAGGACAUGGUCAGCUUUCUCCAGAGACGGCGACCGGGCUAUGGUGAACCUCCCCUGCCAUGACCGCACUCGCUUGUCUGCGCGCGAUCCACCCGUUGUUCAUCCCGACGGACUUGCCGUUUUUAGCCCAAAGAUAAACCUACCCCCGCAGCCAGGUCCAGUCGUCAACGAGGUUGUGGGCUUCACCCUUGCCAAGGACCAACUUUCCACUCUCAAGCACAUAUCUGGUGGCGAUGGCGUGAGCACCUUCAGCGCCGUGAGCGCCCACCUAUGGCAAUGCAUGUGUUUAGCCCGGAACCUACCCCCGGAUGCUACGACACAGCUUAUGUUCUCGGCCAACGUCCGCCGCAUCAUGAGGCCACCACUCCCAGACGGCUACUUCGGCAACGCGAUAAUAAACCUAAGUGUCGGCGACAAAGCGCAUGCCAUCGCCUCACGCGAGCUGAGCUACAUCGCGCGGCGAAUUAGAGACACCCACAGACGGGUGAACGACGAGCUAGUGCAUUCGGCAAUCGACUACCUGGAGCUAGCAAAGAGGGACGAUGAGCGCCCGGCUACAGGCAAUUUGCCGGUGACUGAUAUUAGAGUUGUCAGCUGGCUUGGCAUGCCGUCGUACGAUGCGGAUUUCAGCUGGGGGAGGCCAUUGGCUAUGUUCCGUGCUGAACCAAACCGCGGAGGUUUUGUUCACCUGAUUGACAGCGCACAGGGUGAUGGCAGUGGGCGAAUCAUCAUGUCUAUAGAGGCUGCAAUUCUCAGCGAGUUCAAGCGUUUGUUGUAUGCCAAAUUCAACAUGUUGUAUUCUAAGUUUUAA
rnacentral:rRNA from 1 species